CAGUCGCCACGGUAAUACGGAGGGGGCUAGCGUUGUUCGGAAUUACUGGGCGUAAAGCGCACGUAGGCGGCUUGGUAAGUUAGAGGUGAAAGCCCGGAGCUCAACUCCGGAAUUGCCCUUAAGACUGCCGAGCUAGUAGGUGAGAGAGGUAAGUGGAAUUCCGAGUGUAGAGGUGAAAUUCGUAAAUAUUCGGAAGAACACCAGUGGCGAAGGCGGCUUACUGGCUCAUUCUAGACGCUGAGGUGCGAAAGCGUGGGGAGCAAACAGGAUUAGAUACCCCGGUAGUCCCUGUCUCUUAUAC
rnacentral:rRNA from 1 species